rnacentral:lncRNA from 1 species
AGCUUUGGAAGGGUAGCAUCGAGAUGUGGCUCUCGUCGCAUCCUGACUUCUAGCUCUGGCUCGCAUUAUUUCUGAAGUCGAGCCCAAUAAUUAUAGCUUCGGUGAUCUUGCUGCGAUAAACCAGAAGGCACAAAUAGAGUUAUCUGGUGAGACUUAAGGUAUCUAGCUUCGAGUACUUGUCGCCUCUACCGGUGGUGGAAGUGUGGAUUUAGUGACUCGUCGGUCGGUUACUCGCAAAGCUGCGCGGGAAUGAUGUCAAAGGCGUCAUUCCCAUUUGGCAAUACUAACCUAUCGGCCAAGCUGUUCUUUCGGUUUAUCUAGCUAACUCGUGUUAUUAUCUUGUUUAUAUUGUCAAUACUUGUGUACCCGGA